rnacentral:rRNA from 1 species
GACGAACGCUGGCGGCGUGCUUAACACAUGCAAGUCGAACGGAAAGGCCCUGCUUGCAGGGUACUCGAGUGGCGAACGGGUGAGUAACACGUGGGUGAUCUGCCCUGCACUUCGGGAUAAGCCUGGGAAACUGGGUCUAAUACCGGAUAGGAGCCAUUUUUAGUGUGAUGGUUGGAAAGUUUUUUCGGUGUAGGAUGAGCUCGCGGCCUAUCAGCUUGUUGGUGGGGUAAUGGCCUACCAAGGCGGCGACGGGUAGCCGGCCUGAGAGGGUGGACGGCCACAGUGGGACUGAGAGACGGCCCAGACUCCUACGGGAGGCAGCAGUGGGGAAUAUUGCACAAUGGGCGCAAGCCUGAUGCAGCGACGCCGCGUGGGGGAUGACGGCCUUCGGGUUGUAAACUCCUUUCGCUAGGGACGAAGCUUUUUGUGACGGUACCUAGAGAAGAAGCACCGGCUAACUACGUG